UACAGAGGUCUCAAGCGUUGUUCGGAUUCAUUGGGCGUAAAGGGUGCGUAGGUGGCGGGGUAAGUCAGGUGUGAAAUCUCGGGGCUCAACCCCGAAACUGCACUUGAUACUGCCUUGCUCGAGUACUGGAGAGGAGAUUGGAAUUUACGGUGUAGCAGUGAAAUGCGUAGAUAUCGUAAGGAAGACCAGUGGCGAAGGCGAAUCUCUGGACAGUUACUGACACUGAGGCACGAAGGCCAGAGGAGCAAACGGG
rnacentral:rRNA from 1 species